UUCUCGUUACUACAUCACGUUUCGAGACGUAAUUAUUGUACAUACAAGAGCAGUUCGUUCGAAAUACCUAUCUGUUUGAUUGUCGGGACGUGAAUGAUAGCGCGGCGACUUUUUGUAAACAAUAGUGAAGCGCGGCGUGUGGAUUGCCGAGUGCGUAAACAAUUCCGAACUACGUAUGCCAACUGUCUCGCCACCGAAAACUACAAAAGCUAUCGGUUGCUUGGGAAUCCGAUCAAGACAUGACGCCGCAACCUUUAAAGAACGUGGAAAAAGGAGGCACGAUUAACGAGAGAAUUCGACUAAGGGAUUAAAGCCAUUGCUCCUUCAUGAGGCAACCAAUGAUUGCUACUUUUUUUUUUUAAUCGUCUGCGUGAUAUUCCGCACGUCCCCUUAGACCGGAUACGGAAGGGCGGAAGGACCGCUACGAGGACGGAACACCGCACUUUGCGGAAUCCGACGAGAAAAACGAGAUGGAGCACUAGAUGAGGAGCACAGCGAGGCGGAGGGAAGCACUGACGGUGGGACGAGAAGUAGUCGAGGAAGAAAAAUAGGGAUAGGAAAAAAUAAGACGGGGUUG